rnacentral:rRNA from 1 species
GACGAACGCUGGCGGCGUGCUUAACACAUGCCAGUCGAACGGUGAAGGGACCAGCUUGCUGGUUCUGGAUGAGUGGCGAACGGGUGAGUAACACGUGAGUAACCUGCCCCCUUCUUCUGGAUAACCGCAUGAAAGUGUGGCUAAUACGGGAUAUUCUGGGUCUGUCGCAUGGCGGGCCCGGGAAAGAUAUUGCUUCGGUGGGGGAUGGGCUCGCGGCCUAUCAGCUUGUUGGUGGGGUGAUGGCCUACCAAGGCGGUGACGGGUAGCCGGCCUGAGAGGGUGGACGGUCACACUGGGACUGAGACACGGCCCAGACUCCUACGGGAGGCAGCAGUGGGGAAUAUUGCACAAUGGGCGCAAGCCUGAUGCAGCGACGCCGCGUGAGGGAUGGAGGCCUUCGGGUUGUAAACCUCUUUCGCCAGUGAAGCAGGCCUGCUCCUUGUGGGUGGGUUGACGGUAGCUGGAGAAGAAGCGCCGGCUAACUACGUG